UUUGGGAAAAAAACAGUCAUUUUUUUAUUCAGCAAAAUUGAAAUUAAUUCAAUACUAAGGCUAGGUUCAUUUCACGAGGUCAAUGACAAUACUGUAAAUCAAACUGAAGUGACACAGAGUGCAGCGCAGCUUCGCUGACGGCUAUGCUGUUCAGGACUUCUGUUACGACUUCUCUAUAGAGCACCAACUGACUGCUACCCCUUUCACAGAAACAAGAGUACUAAACUUGGUAACAAAUCACUUGCCAUCUACUAGGCCUACUACUGCUGGCUGGCUAGCUGGCUGAGGCUUGACAACGAUGCCAGAGGGCAGAGGAAGAAUAAGCUACAGUAUCAUCUAACUUCACCUGAGCAGUAACUAGUCUUGAUCAGACUGGAGUCCAUAACACUUCCCCUGGAAUGAUCACGUUGUCAGACAAAUAGACUCCUCCCUCACUAGCCUAUUUCUCCCCCAGCCCAGAGACGUGGCUGGGAAUGGACAGACAAACAGAUAGACUAGACUGGUGUUGAUAAGGCUGCUCCAUUUUGGUUCCCUCUCACAGCAGUUUUUACGCGAGUCUCCCUCCCAUAAUUGCACUUUAACCUGGACAGAGGCGGGGCACUUCACUCCCUGGGUGGAACAGGGGGUGGGGUUCGGCGGGGCCACACCGCUUAGGUGUAGAAAGUAGUCUCCGCCCCCUCAGCCCCGGCCUCUGGCUCCACCUUCACGGCCAGAUGAGGCUUCUUGCGGAGCCGCUUGGCUUCGUUCUGCAGCUUCUGGCGGAUGUAGCCCUUGAUCUCCGAGUCUGUCUUCCCUGGGAAGUAGUGCUGCACCGCCCCUGUGGGUGAGAGGUCAAAGAUCAGAAACCUAUAGAGAUGUAAAGUUAUCAUUACUUUGGAAAUAACCCGUUUUUGCAUGGACAUUGCCAUUGAGGGGUUCCACCAUUUUAAAGGAGUCAACUGGGUGGGGAUUCCUAUGGGUUGGGAGCGAUCAGCCAAUGAUCAGAGCAUUGGCAAAUCAAAUCAAAUCAAAAUGCAUUUGUCACAUGCGCCGAAUAAAACAACGAAGAGGCGACUCCGGGAUGCUGACCUUCUAGGCAGAGUUGCAAAGAAAAAGCCAUAUCUCAGACUGGCCAAUAAAAAUAAAAAAUUAAGAUGGGCAAAAGAACACAGACACUGGACAGAGAAACUCUGCCUAGAAGGCCAGCAUCCCGGAGUCGCCCCUUCACUGUUGACGUUGAGACUGGUCUUUUGCGGGUACUAUUUAAUGAAGCUGCCAGUUGAGGACUUGUGAGGUGUCUGUUUCUCAAACUAGACACUCUAAUGUACUUGUCCUCUUGCUCAGUUGUGCACCGGGGCCUCCCUCUCCUCUUUCUAUUCUGGUUGGAGCCAGUUUGCGCUGUUCUGUGAAGGGAGUAGUACACAGUGUUGUACGAGAUCUUCAGUUUCUUGGCAAUUUCUCGCAUGGAAUAGCCUUCAUUUCUUAGAACAAGAAGGCUGACGAGUUUCAGAAGAAAUGUAUUUGUUUCUGGCCAUUUUGAGUCUGUAAUCGAACCCACAAAUGCUGAUGCUCCAGAUACUCAACUAGUCUAAAGAAGGCCAGUUGUAUUGCUUCUUUAAUUAGCACAACAGUUUUCAGCUGUGCUAACAUAAUUGCAAAAGGGUUUUCUAAUGAUCAAUCAGCCUUUUAAAAUGAUCGACUUGGAUUAGCUAACACAACGUGCCAUUGGAACAGUGAUGGUUGCUGAUAAUGGGCCUCUGUACGCCUUAGUAGAUAUUCCAUUAAGAAUCUGCCAUUUCCAGCUACAAUAGUCAUUUACAACAUUAACAAUGUCUACACUGUAUUUCUGAUCAAUUUGAUGGAUAAAAAAAAUAUUUUAAUGGAUAAAAAAUUGCUUUUCUUUCAAAAACAAGGACAUUUCUAAGUGACCCCAAACUUUUGAAUGGUAGUGUACAUACAGGUGGUACUGGUACUGAGUCAAUGUGCGGGGAUACAGGUUAGUCGAGGUAAUUUGUAAAGUGACUAUGCAUAGAUAAUAAACAGCGAGUAGCAGCAGUGUAAAAACAGAGAGGGGGGGUCAAUGUAAAUAGUCUGGGUGGCCAUUUGAUUAAUUGUUCAGUUGUCUUAUGGAUUGGGGGUAGAAGCUGUUAAGGAGCCUUUUGGUCCUAGACUUGGCGCUCCGGUACCGCUUUCCGUGCGGUAGCAGAGAAAACAGUCUAUGACUUGGGUGACUAGAGUCUUUGACAGUUUUUUGGGCCUUCCUCUGACACCAUCUAGUAUAUAGGUCAUGGAUGUCAGGAAGAUUGGCACGAGUGAAAUACUGGGCCGUACGCAUUACCCUCUGUAGCGCCUUACGGUCGGAUGCCGAGCAGUUGCUAUACCAGGCGGUGAUGCAACCGGUCAGGAUACUCUCGAUGGUGCAGAUGUAGAACUUUUUAAGGAUCUGGGGACCCAUGCCAAAUCUUUUUAUUCUCCUGUGGGGGAAAGGUGUUGAGUACCCUCUUCACAACUGUAUUGGUGUAUUUGGACCAUGAUAGUUUGUUGGUGAUGUGGACACCAAGGAACUUGAAACUCUCGACCCGCUCCACUUCAACCCUGUCGAUGUUAAUGGGGGCCUGUUCGGCCCUCCUUUUCCUACAGUCCACGAUCAUCUCCUUUGUCUUGCUCACAUUGAGGGAGAGGUUGUUGUCCUGGCACCACACUGCCAGGUCUCUGACCUCCUCCCUAUACGCUGUCUCAUCGUUGUCGGUGAUCAGGCCUACCACUGUUGUGUCAUCAGCAAACUUAGUGAUGGUGUUGGAGUCCUGCUUGGCCACGCAGUCGUGGGUGAUCAGGGAGUACAGGAGGGGACUAAGCAUGCACCUCUGAGGGGCCCAGGGUUGAGGAUCAGCGUGGCAGAUGUGUUGUUGCCUGCUCUUACUACCUGGGGCCAGCCGGUCAGGAAGUCCAGGAUCCAGUUGCAGAGGGAGGUGUUUAGUCUCAGGGUCCUUAGCUUGGUGAUAAGCUUUGUGGGCACGAUGGUGUCUUCGUCAGCAAAUCGUUUUGCCUAGUUUGUAAAUGGCUUUAAGCUGUAUCUUGCGGGCACAAUAAAUGAAUGAUAAGAUUUGGUUUAAGACUCCAGCACUGCAGGUGGCGAUAAAUCACCAAUAUUAGCUUGACACUUUUUUUCAAACAUCAAACACAUCAAAAUCUGUAAAAUGGAGAGAGCCUCAAUGGCGCUGCCCAUGUUGUCAGAUGCCAUAACGGCACAGAUACAAAGUUGAGAUCUCUAUACAUCUCUAUGCCUGUACCAAGAUUAUCGCGGUCUAUAAACGACAGUUCGAGUCCCAGGCAAUGGCUGAAGUCAAACGGAAAUAACAACACUGUUACAGUAGUCAUUUAGCCGACGCUCUUAUCCAGAUCGACUUACAGUCACUGCUUUCACAUAACUUUAAUAGUUGAUGUGAAAAGUAUUUACACUGUAGCACGAGGUCAGGGCGGGAAGUGUGACAUGUUCAACUGCGGUAUGGGGGUGUGCCUAGCUGUUAUGAAUGUUUGUGUCUAGCUUUUAUGGGGGGGUGUGUCUAGCUGUCUCAGGCUGCAGUACAGACGAGACCUUACUCAGUAUUGCCUGGAUCUCGUCUGCAGGCAGGGCAGGCUUGGUUUGGCUGCCCAGCACCCGUUCAGCACCCCUGGAGAGGCCAGCAGGGCCGACGUUGUCAUGGCACCACUCCUCACCAGGAUCUCAGGCAUGCUGGGAGAUGUAGUUCUGCGGUCCGUGCUGCUCGACCACACCUCCGUCCUCUCAAUCAGGGCCUCCAGGUUACGUGCCAACUUUCCACACGCUAGCAUACGAUAGUAUGGCAGUCAAUAGCAUGAAUCCCACAAAAUUCAAGUGAUUAAAGCAUCCUGGAUUGCUCUUAGGCACAGAUGUAGGAACAGCUUACCCUCCCUGACUCAUGACCUUAAUCAUUAGCAGGGAAAAUUUUAAACUGAACUUAGAUCAGUGUCUAAGGGCAACUUCCUCCUACCUCUCAUGCCUGGCCCUCACCUGUGAGGCAUCUGAUUUGCUCCCUCAUGUUGUCCAUCUCUCGCUGCAUGCUCAGCACCAUGGCAACCAGGUCAGCCUUUGAACGUGACUGUAGGCCUCCAAGACCCUUUAGAGACAUUAAGAAGUCAAAAAGUCAUACAUUGAAAGUCUAAGCCACAUGCACGCACGCACGCACGCACUCACACACAUGCACUCACACACACACACGUGCACUCACACGCACUCACACCGCCAUCAGCCAGUGUACCUCUGCCAUGAAGUCACCCUCCUCUAUGCGUUCCACACUGGGGUUGUCAGACACUGGUACCUGUUUGGAGAUAAGAAAUCACUCAUAUACAUUGUCUCACUUGUAUGUAAUUGUCACAGUGUUUUUUAUUUUAUUUAUUAUAUUAUGUAUAGUCAGCUAUGGUCUGCUAUGGUGAAAAAUCAUAGCCAGGUUGAAACAUCAGAAAAUCCCUGUGACGAUACCCUAUUCUUCUUCAUAAAUUAUUUUGUCUUGACAAAAAGUAAAUAAAGUUUCAUUGUCAAGCUAUGAUUCAGCAUCCUUCCUUUAUUUAGGAGUAGCAACAACAUGUUACUUGUUGCUGUCUUGGCUUGUCGUUCUUUUCACCACCUCACCUUGCCAAAGGCUUGUGCUCUCCUCCUCUCCGUCAUUGAGAUCAAUGGCUGCCCUCAUCAUGCCCCUCUCUCACAUAAGCGCCAUUAGGACAAAACACAGCUGAGAGGUGAAUGCUCUCUGUGCCACGACUACUACAACCUUGUGGUUCCAAGUUGUAACCCCUUAAGUGAGGAGGUGGGGUCCUAUAUUACUAACGUACAAACUGGAUUUAUGUCGGUCGGUCAACAUGCGAAUAUGAUGGCACCACAAUGAGCAGACGCGUGCCAACCCCGACAGAUAAUAGAGAAAACUUUCGUCGCAAAGAAAUAUGAUAUAUUAAUAGUCGACCCAAACCCUUGUUUUCAACUUCUGGAGAGCGAUGUUGCAUGGUGGAUUCUCUUCUACGUUCUCAUUCACCGGUUUUGAUGUCUUCACUAACCCACCUGGACAAGAGGAAUACCUAUGUAAGUAUGCUGUUCAUCGACUAC
rnacentral:lncRNA from 1 species